UCAUUUGAAGUUUAAAUAAUAUGUUAUUAGUUAUCUUAUGACUUUGUCGGCCAUUAUUUAAAACGAAUCCCACAUUGUAGCAACGCCUUUUCGAUGAGCUAUACGGAUCUUUCUCUGAGGUCUGUUUCUGAGGCACAUGUCUAUUAGUUAGUUUUUAGAAGAACUUCUCCAUUUUUAGCUCAGCUGACUAAGUCAGCCGAGCUUCACAGCUGUUUCAGCUAAGCCUAAACAUGACAUCGAAAUAAACCAUUCUGCCUACUAGCCUGCUGCCCAACGAUUGGUCCAUGCGAAAAGCCUGUUAACCGCUGUGUAAACAUUGUCGCCAAUACACAUCUCACACAUUAUCGCAAUACCCAUUCAGCCAAAGGGUUAAUGCAUUGGCAUCGUUCAAACAUCAGCGCGCUUCUGUACACGUGCUCGAAUUAGAUACGACGGUUUUCAUUGGCUCAUAAGUUGUGUCACAUGACCAUUCACCCGGCUUGAAAAUUUCAUGAAAUUUGGACCAAAAUUAACGAAACAGUGGCGAUUUCCAUGUUUUUUAUCGAUUUUUCGACAAGUUACAGAUUUCGGAAUUCUUUAAGACUAGAUAGCCGGGUAGGCAUAAUAUCAUAUAUCAUAAAUACCCCGGCUGUUUUGCAUAACUCAUUUCAGUUUCGUACAGAAUCGUGCGUUUAUUCUGAAAUUUCUCAAACUUUGAUCUGUAAUGGCCGACUUGCAGACGGAGAUUGAGAUGGGGUGCCAAGUUCAUCGUACAGCAUCGAAUUCCCUUGAUCGUUAUUUAUCAAAACGAGGUACUUCCAGUAUUCAUUUAAAUCUUUACUUUUAAAAUAUAUAUCUAUUUUAUGUUAGUUUGCUGUCUAUUCAUGCAGAAAAUGCAUUUGAAAAACAAAUGUCUAAAAAUAGUUGAGUUUUGAAGUUCGAUGGUCGGGUCUAUUUUGGUGAAAGGGGUACAGCAUGGGUAAUAGUACAAUAAUAAGUCAUGAUCGUGCUUAUGAACAAGCCAUGAGUUAGCAUAUACCAUAGUUUAUGUUGAAAAUAUCUUUACAGAUGUAAUUGAUAAAUAUAGUCUUAAAAAUUCGCCAAAUAUAGAAAAGUUCUUGGUAUAUUAUCCACCUGUUAGCAAAAUGAACUCAUGAGGCUACAUGUAUAUAGGCCCAGUACGUCGACAUCAUUGAUCCGGCAGUGAACAAGAUAAGUGGUUCAGCCUCCAAGAUGUGUCACCAGAAAUGCAACCGACAUUAUAGACAGGCGUGAUUACUACUCUGAUUUUGGACUGAUGGUAUACUCGUCUUCAAAAUGGACCUGACUAGGAAUGAUGAUGGUGACUUCCCUCCUCAGAAAAAAGCUCGGUAAGAUUCGAAAGUUGGUGCAGGCGGUCAUUAGCGAUAUUUCGGUCGUAAACGCAAGAAGUCCAAGAAAACCACUGACAAAUCAGGAAAACGUAUAUUCAAUGUCGGCGACACGUGUUUGUUCAGAUUGGACUCAAACGUUUAUCUUGGAACCGUUCUUAGUCAAGUUGAUGAACAUCAUUUCCAAAUUGAGGACUAUACAGGAACAGUGCACACCUUCAUUUGUCUGUCACUUUGAUUAAAAGAAAGUUAAAGUUGAAACUUCUAUAGCAAGGAAUAUGAAGAUGUGAACUUUGUAUUAUUAUUUUUUGAAUGUAUGAGUCUAUUGAAUGUAAAU